GUGCCAGCAGCCGCGGUAAUACAGAGGGUGCGAGCGUUGUUCGGAAUUAUUGGGCGUAAAGCGCUGGUAGGUGGCUUGGAAAGUCGCGUGUGAAAGCUCCCGGCUCAACCGGGAAAGUGCGCGCGAAACUGACGAGCUUGAGUGCCGGAGAGGGUCGCGGAAUUCCCGGUGUAGAGGUGAAAUUCGUAGAUAUCGGGAGGAACACCAGAGGCGAAGGCGGCGACCUGGAAGGUAACUGACACUGAGCAGCGAAAGCGUGGGUAGCAAACAGGAUUAGAUACCCCGGUAGUCC
rnacentral:rRNA from 1 species